CGCGCGGCGCUGAGGGGGCCCGGCGGGGUCCGGCGGCCGCCCGAGGGGGCGGCUCGGGCCGCGGCGCUGGAAGGGGGAGCGGGAGCGGCGGCAGCCGCGCCGCUGUGAUGAGUCAUGCGAAGGCAGCCAGACGCGUAGGUUCCUCACAGGAACCCGGAGGAAACCUGAGCGCACAUCGCUCGUUACCUAAUCCCUGCCUCCUUCGGGGCUUCCCUGGAGCUUCCGCCGCCGGCGGCGCCUCCGCGGCUGCCGGAGGGUGCGCGGGGCCGGGGUGAGCCCCGCCGUGAGGGGACGCCGCUGUCCCGCCCGAGCCGCGGCCAGGAGCAGCCUCGGAGACAGAGUUUGACAUCGGAGAGUGUUUGCGUGAGGGGAACUAGCCAUGAAAAAGGAAGAGGUGAGUCACAAGCCCCGGGAGGAUGUAUAUCAAUGCAAGUAUCACAAAGCCGUUUUAACUUCAUUAUCAGUUGUUUUUCACUCAGAAUCCAGAGGCAGUUGGAAUUUCUAAGAAACUACAAUCCAGUAAUAAGCAGUGUUUGAACAGGCCUUGGGGAGGUGACCUGAAUUGUAUGGAGGGCAAAAAGAAGUGCUUUUUAAUUAUUUGUAGCCUUUGGAAGUGACUCCUGUGGACUGACAAACAGAAGACAGCCACGAACAAAAGAGAUCCUGAUUACAGCAAGAAAUGAAAUGAAGAACGUGGAGGUCAUGGCUGUGAAGCAGUUUGGUUCAAGCCUGAGCCACGGUAAAAUAUUCCCACUUACUGAGAGAGAAACAUAAAAUUUUUGUGCUGGAUUAAAUCCUUUGUCCUUCAGACCCAGCCUUUCAUCUCUGUUGUUGCCACUACAGGACAAAGGAGAAGUUCAAAGCAGAGCUUUGACUGUCCUUGACCAAGGACUUUGCGGCAGGUGAGGGCUAAAGCCCCACUCUGGUGUAGCACUGAAAGCUGCAUUUCACUGCCUGUGUCCUGCUCUGAGCCUGUGGUGAGCACAGUGCUGCAUCCAACCUCCUUAAAAUUCAAGUACACACAAAGCCAGAUGACUGAUCCACAUGCCUGUCAUUAAAUGUGCUGUGCUAGAGGCUCUCA